rnacentral:rRNA from 1 species
AUGCUGGAGGGCGUCCAAGAGGUCUUCGGCGACAAGGUGCUCAUCGACCGGCUGGAUAGCCGCACCCUGGAGCACGAUCACACCAAGACUUUCGCCUGCUGGGUGUGGGUCUGGGACAUGCUGUUCAUCCUGACCCGGCACACCUACUGGAAGCUGCCUCAAGGCGCCGGCAGGGUGGAGGAGAUGGACGGCUUCUCGCCUCCGGACCGCAGAGUGGCCCUGCCGCCCAGUGCGGAGUGCUACGACUUCCUCAUCCACGUCGACAGGGUCAAAGACUGGUCCCAUCGCUCCCCGAGAUCGUCGCACUCCGCUCAGAGUGGCCUGCCCUCCUUCGACUUCGACCACGACGACGAUCUGCCCCGCACCCUUCCCGGCACCUGGAUCAUGCAUGUCAAGGACGGUCAGCCCAUGGAGCACCAUCGCCGUCAGCAUCGCGCCCCUGUGUUGGACACGGGCUGCCGCGGGCUCCUUGGGGAGGCCCCCGUCGUGACCACAAUGGUCAGGGUGGGGGUGGCAGCAGCCGCCGGUCCUGGAAGGACACGCUGUUGGGCCGGUGCCGCGGCCAAAAUGCCCAGACCGAUCAUGGCGAGGCCACGAGUACGGAGCGUCAAAGCAGCCGCUCCCCUGGGCUCGUCACUCUAG